UGCGCCGUUGUCGGAAAUCGGUCGCCGGAACUUGAUUUCCGGCGAGCUUAACGGUCCCAAUUUCAUAAGCGGAACGUUCGAUUAAGACAGCGAAAAUUCUCCGUUAUAAGACUAGGUGUGCUGGUGCUGCUGCAUAAUCUCGAGCAUACGGGGCUAGGCUUGGGUAUUUACAUUUAAAGCAUUUGAAACAAUUAUUAUUGGUUUUUCUAAGACUUAUAUAAAUGGUUUGUGGUUUGAAUGAAAGGGGUCAUUGGUGAUUCCCGAGUUGUAUUUAUAUUUUAAUUCCGCUGCAUUUUAGUUUUCAAGUUAAUGUUUUAAGUUAUCGUAACUCU